rnacentral:rRNA from 1 species
UCGAGAAUUUUUUCUCAAUGGGGGAAACCCUGAAGGAGCGACGCCGCGUGGAGGAUGAAUGCUUUUCGGGUUGUAAACUCCUGUCAUUUGGGAACAAAGCCUUACGUUAACUGCGUGGAGGUUUGAUAGUACCGAAAGAGGAAGAGACGGCUAACUCUGUGCCAGCAGCCGCGGUAAUACAGAGGUCUCAAGCGUUGUUCGGAUUCAUUGGGCGUAAAGGGCGCGUAGGCGGCGGGGUAAGUCGGAUGUGAAAUCUCAGAGCUCAACUCUGAAACUGCACUCGAUACUGCUCUGCUUGAGGACUGGAGAGGAGACUGGAAUUCACGGUGUAGCAGUGAAAUGCGUAGAUAUCGUGAGGAAGACCAGUGGCGAAGGCGGGUCUCUGGACAGUUCCUGACGCUGAGGCGCGAAGGCCAGGGGAGCAA